UACGUAGGAGACUAGCGUUGUCCGGAAUUACUGGGUGUAAAGCGCGUGUAGGCGGCAUACCAAGUCUGUUGUGAAAUCGCCCGGCUCAACUGGGCGGGGUCAAUGGAAACUGGUAAGCUGGAGGACGGUAGAGGCGAGUGGAAUUCCCGGUGUAGUGGUGAAAUGCGCAGAUAUCAGGAGGAACACCUAUUGCGAAGGCAGCUCGCUGGGACGGUACUGACGCUGAGACGCGAAAGCGUGGGGAGCAAACAGG
rnacentral:rRNA from 1 species